UGUCCCCAAUGGCUUCAGUGGAACGUCCUCUUGGGGAUAUUGGGCACAUAGCUUGCUUGCUGAGAGAGGUCAGUGCUGCUGGGGCUCUGGGGUCAGGCAGGUGCACUGAGCUUGGCUCUCCCCACAGGGCUCGGGGCUGUAACUGCAGUCUUGCAGGAUCCCCGGCAGCAGUGGUAGGAGUGUGAAGUUCCUCUCUUGGAGUCUGGCUCAUACCCCAUACGCAUCUAUCCGUCUGGAUUGUAGAAGACAGCCUUGCUCACUUUAGCCCCUGGGGCUAUAAAAAAAUUAAGUCUGCAUUAAGGAAAAUAGAAAGUGACCUAGUGAUGAUGUAUUUGGAAGGUAGGUUUGGGGGUGGGUAUGAUGGAAGAAUUUAUACUCAGCCACUUUUUGUUUAAAAUUCUGCUGUGUCACAAUAGGAUUGGUGUUGUCCUGGGAGCACUGGUACUUGGGUUUGAUUCCCUGCCCGGCACAGUGGGUUAAGGAUCCGGUUUUGCCACAGUUGAUGCUUAGGUUGAGACUGGGGCUCAGAUCCAAUCCCUGGCUCGGGAGCUCCAUAUGCCGUGGGCCGGCCAAAAGUGAAAAAUAAAGAAGGAAAGAAAGAAAUAAAAAUAAAAUAAAGUGUUGACCUAGUGAAUAGAAGAAACAGCAAGUCGCAUCCUUUAGUUGGGAAAGAGAAAGGAAGUCACGGGGAGAAAAGAGAAGAUGGAUAGAGGGGGAGACAGCACUGUGCUGAAAUUCAGAGAAAAUGCAAUGUCUCUAUGGGAACCGUGCCCAGGACCCUGUCCUGCUGGGAGCCUGCUGGCGGCGGCAGCCAGGAGAGCAGAACGACAAGAUCAGGAGUGCUCCUGUUGUAGGAUACCAUUUGUGUGAUUAAGGAUGGCUCACUGAGGAGUUCCAAUCGUGGCUCAGUGGUUAAUGAAUACGACUAGGAACCAUGAGGUUACAGGUUUCCAUCCCUGUCCUUGCUCAGUGGGUUAAGGAUCCGGUGUUGCCGUGAGCUGUAGUGUAGGUCGCAGAUGCAGCUCGAAUCCUGAGUUGCUGCGGCUCUGGUGUAGGCCAGCAGCUGCAGCUCUGAGUGGACCCCUAGCCUGGAAACCUCCAUGUGCUUCGGGAGCAGCCCUAGAAAAGGCAAAAAAAAAAAAAAAAGGAUGGUUCAUUGAUUUAUUCCCUCUUUUCUUCAACAGCUAUGGAGUCCUGACUAUGUUCUGGACACUCUUAGAAAAGCAUGAAGGAGGCUGCCCGUCCCUGUUGGAUGUGACAGCACCGUGUGGGUGUGUCAGAGCUGAACUCUUGUCUUCGGCCCCCGUGUCUCUCCCAGCCACUCACUCGCCAGGCUUCCAGGGCCAGCUGUCUCAGUAUUCCUUGUUCAGAGUUUUACCUCCUGGGCUGGAUUACAGGUUCCUCGGGAGAGGCUAGACUUCCUAUGUGUUGUCUGUAAUCCUCAGCACAAGACUAAACAUGCAGUUGCACUUGGUAAGCACUUGUGAAUAAAGGAAACAGAGAGGCAGAAUAUUUGCGGAUC
rnacentral:lncRNA from 1 species